rnacentral:misc_RNA from 1 species
GGAAGGAUCAUUACUUUACGUAAGCUUAUCAGGUAUAUGAUGUGGGAGGGUGUAUUGUCAUGUGAUCAUAUAUCCCCCCACAUCCCUGAUAAACUUCAAUACAUGCUCCAGGUAACACUGGAUGCACAAUAUACACAUGUAUACACAUUUAUCAUGAUACUUUGAUAAGAUCAAUUGAAACAAAACUUUUAACAAUGGAUCUCUUGGCUCCUGCAUCGAUGAAGAACGCAGCUAAGUGCGAAAAGUAAUGCGACAUGCAUAUCUCUGCGAGUCAUCCAGUAUUUGAACGCAAAUGGCACGUGGGGGUGAAAUUCCACGUAUGAGCGCUUGAGGGUCAGAUGUUUCAUCACACGAGUAUUCGUGUGGAUUUGUCCUAUAUAUUGGGAUGAAAUAGAGUGGGGGAUUGAUUUCUAUGGAAAGUCAUCCGUCUUGAAGACAAGUGGGGAUGUAUUCUCUCUAUUCAGGAUGGUGAUAAUGUGCAUGUAUAUCAUGUCAUACACAGACAUUCGUCCUCCAUGUGUGUGGGUGAUAUGUGAGUAUGUAUAUUCGUAUCCAUACUCACAUGUCACCACCACCAACAAUGCUCAAUUUGGACAUUCGGCUGACGCCGAAGCCCAAAUUGAUCAAGUAUUGACCUCAGUCGCUCAGGACUACCCGCUGAACUUAAGCAUAUCAGUAAGCGGAGGAAAAGAAACUAACAAGGAUUCCCCCAGUAACGGCGAGUGAAGCGGGACCAGCUCAAAUUUGAAAUCAGGGGGAGAGAUCUUCUUGAAUUGUAGUCUAGAGGGUGUACUCUAUUCAAAAGUAUCGAGUCGCAAGUGUUCUGGAAAGGACCACCAGAGAGGGUGACAGUCCCGUUGAAGACCCGAUACUCUCGAAUACAUAUCUACACCCAAGGAGUCGGGUUGCUUGGGAAUGCAGCUCAAAACGGGUGGUAAACUCCAUCCAAGGCUAAAUAGCGGCAGGAGACCGAUAGCGAACAAGUACCGUGAGGGAAAGAUGAAAAGCACCUUGAAAAGGGAGUGAAACAGCGCGUGAAAUUGUUAAAAGGGAAACGAAUGUGGGGGGCAGAUUGUGUGUGUGUUGGUGGGGUAGGGUGGAGAGGUUUGAGCAGGCGACUGCCAGAAGCUCCAUCCAGAGACCCACCUAGCCACACGACGUCGGGGCUGCUUGGUGGGGGUGGUGAAUACUGUGGGGGGUGUUGUGAUGAUAUAUCACGGCAUUCCACAGGGAUGCACCUCCCCCGAGUAGUGCACAUGGAGUAAAGUAUGUGGCUACUUUGUGGGGAUGGUCGUGUGACUGCAUGCAGACAUGUGAUUUUGAUCUCACAAACCGCCACGAUACUCUCUCCAUUAAUCCCCAACAACCCCCCCAUAUACGACCCGUCUUGAAACACGGACCAAGGAGUCUAACAUGCGUGCGAGUGUUUGGGUGGCAAGCCCGAGCGCGCAACGAAAGUGGCAAGUGGGAAUAUAUGUGAGCGAUCACACGUAUGCACCACAGAUCAAUCAUGAACUUUUCUCGAUUGAUCAAAGCACACACGUUGGGACCCGAAAGAUGGUGAACUAUGCCUGGACAGGAUGAAGCCAGGGGAAAUUCUGGUGGAGGUCCGCCGCCGUUCUGACGUGCAAAUCGAUGGCCGGAUCUGGGCAUAGGGGCGAAAGACUAAUCGAACCAUCUAGUAGCUGGUUCCCUC